GACGAACGCUGGCGGCGUGCUUAACACAUGCAAGUCGAGCGGUAAGGCCCUUUUGGGGGUACACGAGCGGCGAACGGGUGAGUAACACGUGGGUGACCUGCCCCUUACUCUGGGAUAAGCCUGGGAAACUGGGUCUAAUACCGGAUAGGACUUCAUGCUGCAUGGUGUGGGGUUGAAAGUUUUUUCGGUGGGGGAUGGGCCCGCGGCCUAUCAGCUUGUUGGUGGGGUGAUGGCCUACCAAGGCUUCGACGGGUAGCCGGCCUGAGAGGGCGUCCGGCCACACUGGGACUGAGACACGGCCCAGACUCCUACGGGAGGCAGCAGUGGGGAAUAUUGCGCAAUGGGCGGAAGCCUGACGCAGCGACGCCGCGUGAGGGAUGACGGCCUUCGGGUUGUAAACCUCUUUCAGCUCCGACGAAUUUGACGGUAGGAGUAGAAGAAGCACCAGCCAACUACGUGCCAGCAGCCGCGGUAAUACGUAGGGUGCAAGCGUUGUCCGGAAUUAUUGGGCGUAAAGAGCCCGUAGGCGGUUUGUUGCGUCGGCUGUGAAAUCCCGAGGCUCAACCUCGGGUCUGCAGUCGAUACGAGCAAACUAGAGUGUUGCAGGGGAGACUGGAAUUCCUGGUGUAGCGGUGAAAUGCGCAGAUAUCAGGAGGAACACUGGUGGCGAAGGCGGGUCUCUGGGCAACAACUGACGCUGAGGAGCGAAAGCGUGGGGAGCGAACAGGAUUAGAUACCCUGGUAGUCCACGCCGUAAACGUUGGGCGCUAGGUGUGGGGCUCAUUCCACGAGUUCCGUGCCGCAGCUAACGCAUUAAGCGCCCCGCCUGGGGAGUACGGCCGCAGGCUAAA
rnacentral:rRNA from 1 species